AUUCCAGCUCCAAUAGCGUAUAUUAAAGUUGUUGCAGUUAAAAAGCUCGUAGUUGGAUUUCUGGUUAGAUGCGCCUGGCCCGCCGACGUUCAGUCGUGUGAAGUGCUGGUGCGCAACUGCCAUCCUUCUAGAGAAGGGACCAACGGUUCAUUCCGGUUCGGUUCACAAUCUAGAUCUUUUACUUUGAAAAAAUUAGAGUGUUUAAAGCAGGCUUUUGCUAUGAAUACAUUAGCAUGGAAUAAUAAUUUAGGACUCUGUUUCUAUUUUGUUGGUUUCCGGAAACGGAGUAAUGAUUGAUAGGGAUUGUUGGGGGUGCUAGUAUUCAGCGGCCAGAGGUGAAAUUCUCGGAUUCGCUGAAGACUAACUUAUGCGAAAGCAUUCACCAAGGAAGUCUUCAUUG
rnacentral:rRNA from 1 species